AGACCAGGAAAGUAACAGGAAAUGGAUAUCGCUGCUGGAGACAAUGACUACUUUAAGCAGAGUAGGAGAAAAAAUUUUCUUUUCCUUUGUGCCAGUUCCUUUUACACAACUUCAGAACAUUCUAUGACAACCCAGUGUGCAACUUGACACUGUCAGAAGAGACCUGGGAAAGAAAGAAAAUGCGUUUUUCAGAACUUUACUAGAAGUAGUUGAUCCAUAAGGCAAUAUUGGAUGUGGUGGUUUCCGGUCACCCACCGUGACACUGCGGUGACUGGUCUGCUGCCUGGCCUUCAAGUAGAUCUGGACCCCACACAGUCCCCAUGUACAGCUGAUACCAGGCUGAAAUAGAUCAGGUGGUUGAGGAACUAAGCCAGUGUCAGGUGGCACACCAGACUGCCAAAGUGGAGACUUGGAUGAACACAGGAAGAUUAUGGAGCAAUACUUGAAGCCCAAAUGAAGCUCAGGACCCAGAGACUUCUCAAAACUUAUCUUCAAUGCUCGAACUCUUCUGCAGCCACCUGUUUCUACUGGAGUUUAGCCAGGUUCCAACUCUGUAGGUAUACCUCGGUCAUUUAGCAUCUGUUCCAUCUUUGAGACUGAGUUUCCAGAAGACCCGAUUCAACCAGAAGCAAAAGACAGUGGCCAAGAAGAUGGCACAGCAUAAGAAUUUGGGAAAUGGAUAAAAACAUCCCAGAGACAUCCAACAAUUAGUAACCAUGUGAACAGAUUCUGUAAUAUUGGGUCUAUUGGGCUCUGCGGGAAGGUAUUCCCUUUGGAAAUGACUGAAAUGGAGAUUUUGAACCACUUUCAAUGACAC